rnacentral:snRNA from 1 species
CUUUAUGCUCAGUCUUUUGGCUAAGAUCUAGCAUCUGUUCUUAUCAGUUUAAUAUCUGAUAUGUCCUUCAUCUGAGGACAAUAUGUUAAAUGGGUUUUAGGAGCAGGGAGAUGGGGUAGGAACUUGCUCUGUCUACUCCAUGCAUUGAGCUGGAAUUGCAGGGCCUCCAGAAACAGUGGAUCCCCC